rnacentral:misc_RNA from 1 species
ACACCCCCUCAAGCAUUGCUUGGUUUUGGGUAAGGUCCUUAAGGGGACCCACCCGUAACUUGUAGGUGGUCGUCGGUGACCCCCCUAGCGUAGCAGGCUAAACGCACCCGCUCGGGGGUGGCCCCUGUGGCCCGCCUAAAAACUUUAUUUCCAAAG